CAGUGGAGUAUGUGGUUUAAUUCGAAGCAACGCGAAGAACCUUACCAGGUCUUGACAUCCUCUGACAAUCUGAGAGAUCAGACUUUCCCUUCGGGGACAGAGAGACAGGUGGUGCAUGGUUGUCGUCAGCUCGUGUCGUGAGAUGUUGGGUUAAGUCCCGCAACGAGCGCAACCCCUGUGGUUAGUUGCCAUCAUUUAGUUGGGCACUCUAAGCAGACUGCCGUGGAUAACACGGAGGAAGGUGGGGACGACGUCAAAUCAUCAUGCCCCUUAUGACCUGGGCUACACACGUGCUACAAUGGUCUGAACAGAGGGCUGCGAAACCGCGAGGUGAAGCUAAUCCCUUAAAACAGAUCUCAGUUCGGAUUGCAGGCUGCAACUCGCCUGCAUGAAGUUGGAGUUGCUAGUAAUCGCAGAUCAGAAUGCUGCGGUGAAUGCGUUCCCGGGUCUU
rnacentral:rRNA from 1 species